rnacentral:lncRNA from 1 species
CUUGCUCCUCCUCUCUGCAGAGUCACCAUGUGAGCCCAGGAAGACAGGAUGCUUGUCACUGGUGUCCAGUCAUUUCGAUUGGAUUCACCCUCUUACUGCGUGUCUAAAUACUGAAAAUUCACCUGACAGUUAAGGGCAAGGGAAGAUGGUUUCUUACAUAUUGAAACAGAUAUCCCACUUGCCCGGAUUUGAUGAGUUGAAAUGAAAAUCUUAAUCCUGGAUACAUAAAAAGUAUCCAGUCGCUCAAACAGAUGUGAGAAAGCUAGAAGAGGGCAGGGCAGACCAGUUGAUGGACGUCUAGGCUAUUUCCAACUUCUGGCUAUUACCAAUAGAACAGCAGUGAACACGGAUGAGCAAGUCUCCCUGUGAUGUGCCGAGGCUGACUUCACACACGCUGAGGAUUUGGAAACCCGAACCUGAAAGGGAAUGGCUCAGUGACUCUUCAGAUUGGACUGUGAUGAGACUUCUCCUUGGAGACGCAGCCGCCACAGCGAAAGCUUCACGGAGACACAGUCUCCACAAAGGAAAUUCUGCCUGGAUAAGAGGGCGAGUUCAAGGAAUGGCCCCGCCCUUUUUGAGCUGGAAGAGAAAUGCAAGAUCUAGAGAGCAAUGGUGAAUAGAUGUCCUGCAGUGUCCUCCCGAGAGCCUGUGAGUUUAGCAGAGCAUUCCAUGUGUUCACAGGGGAAGACGGGAGUUUCUCCGACAUGCCUCGAUUGAGCAAGAGUGACGCACCAAGUUCGUGAAGAAAGUGAUUAUAGCGCAUAGCAACUUAACCCUGCAUGUGGAAUACUUAGGACAUUCCAAAGAUUCCAGCUAAUACUCAUUUCUUAACACUAACGCUCUACUAAGCAUUUUUUUAUUUACAUGUAAAAAACGAGCAGCCUAAUAUAUGGCAUAAAACUCAUCAAACAUUAAAAAAAACAAAGUGUAUAGCCCAAUUUUAAAUCAUACUUCGUCUAUUUUUAAAGGUGUAGCAUAGAAUAUAUGUCAAAUGCAAAUAUCAAAAUGCAAAAUAUUCUUCCC